GUUUGCCAACAGAAAUAAACGGAGCGGAUAAGGACACACUGGUCGCUUAUCUCUUUGCGGCUACAGUCCGAGCAAUCUGUCUUUCUCACUGCUUGUCUAGACAGACUUCCUCACAGGCACUAGGUUGGCUGUGCUUGAGUCAAGGUGUCUUCUAAAUGAAAAUUCCCACUUCCUGGUCAUACAAAAGGCGGAAAGAUCACGCAAUGAUGUCAAAAAAUAGAAGAAUUCCGCGAUAUCUCAGCGCUGAAGCAUUGUUUCUCCAACCCUUCAAUCAACAAGCCUUCAUUUCUCAAUCAUCAACUGACCUCUUCUGCAUGGUGGCUGGCAGGCAAACUCUGGCGCCCGAGGUUGUCACAGAAAUUGUCUAAAGAGAACAUAUUAAAACAAGAGCGUGCGAAAUAAAUUUGUACGCCACCUGGGUAA